rnacentral:misc_RNA from 1 species
AAUUCUCAACCCUUUUUGAUUUGUUUCAAAGAUGGGCUUGGACUGUGGAGGUUUUGCUGUGGAUAUUCAUUUCCUCAGCUCCUCUGAAAUGUAUUGGCAAAAGGCGACGCAUGAACGGCUUUUUCGGUGUGAUAAUGAUCACCGUGGCUGGAGUGUGACAAUGUCUGUGCCUCUAACAAGUUGAUGGCCUUUGUUGGCUCUCAACGCUUUUGAAC